AGCCCUGAGGUGUCAUCAUGUUAGAUUGCAAAUCUUAAGAAGCAGGCUUACUACCUGCCGGGGCUU